GAUGAAGAACGUAGCGAAAUGCGAUAAGUAAUGUGAAUUGCAGAAUUCAGUGAAUCAUCGAACCUUUGAACGCACAUUGCGCCCAUUAGUAUUCUAGUGGGCAUGCCUGUUCGAGCGUCAUUAAGUCCACUUAAGCCCUGCUUAGUGUUGGGAGACUGCUCCAGCGGUGCUACCCUGUAGCUACCCUGCAGCUCCUCAAAGACAGCGGCGGAGUUGUGGUAUCCUCUGAGCUUAGUAACUUGUUCUAGCUUUCGAGUACACCACUUCCCCUGCCGUAAAACCCUUAAUUUUUAAUGGUUGACCUCGGAUCAGGUAGGAAUACCCGCUGAACUUAAGCAUAUCAAUAAGCGGAGGA
rnacentral:misc_RNA from 1 species